GUAUAGGUUUAAUGACUGCGCGCGAGCGACAAUCGUUAAAAGACAUUCUGUAACUUUAUAGUGUAUAUGAAAACAUAGCCAAGAAGAAAGCAAGCAGGGGAAGGUUUUGCCCAGUCCCCCAGACCGCAUUGCUGCGAGAGGUUCACUUUUUCAAAGACUACAAGAGGUGCACAAGAGAAGAUAAAUAGAUGGAACGAGCACAUGCCCAGUAAAGAGCCAGCAUCAGUACCAAUCGUAUUCAAUAAUGAUCCUUCCGCAGGUUCACCUACGGAAA
rnacentral:misc_RNA from 1 species